rnacentral:rRNA from 1 species
UACGUAGGUCCCGAGCGUUGUCCGGAUUUAUUGGGCGUAAAGCAAGCGCAGGUGGUUUAUUAAAUCUGGUGUAAAAGGCAGUGGCUCAACCAUUGUAUGCAUUAGAAACUGGUAGACUUGAGUGCAGGAGAGGAGAGUGGAAUUCCAUGUGUAGCGGUGAAAUGCGUAGAUAUAUGGAGGAACACCGGUGGCGAAAGCGGCUCUCUGGCCUGUAACUGACACUGAGGCUCGAAAGCGUGGGGAGCAAACAGG